rnacentral:rRNA from 1 species
UACGUAGGGUGCAAGCGUUAAUCGGAAUUACUGGGCGUAAAGCGUACGCAGGCGGUGUGUUAAGACAGGUGGGAAAUCCCCGGGCUUAACCUGGGAACUGCGCUUGUUACUGGCAAGCUAGAGUGUGGCAGAGGGGGGUAGAAUUCCAGGUGUAGCAGUGAAAUGCGUAGAUAUCUGGAGGAAUACCGAUGGCGAAGGCAGCCCCCUGGGUUAACACUGACGCUCAUGUACGAAAGCGUGGGGAGCAAACAGG